CACAGGCCCGUGCCCCCCCUGUCAUUUCUAGCACUUUUUUUUCUCCCAAAGGUGAGCAGCAGCAACAACACGCUGCUUUCUCCAUCAGUAAUAUUAGAGCCGAGCCGCGGCACUAAACAGCAGAUCUAGAGCUCUCUAUUCAGUGUAAUAACAGGAGGUGACUGAGGGGGAGCUGUUGCGCUCAUCCUAGUGCAGCAACGACCUGCUCCCCUGCUACUGUACUGCGGAGCAUCCUGUCUUCUCUGCCCCUACACUACAGUGGCAGUCUGGAGGAGCCUCUCAUAGCCACAGUCGGUGAUGUGUGGAGCAGUGACUGUGGCUGUGGAGAGGAGCCAGGCCCCCAUUACUUGGAACAGUCAUCCGGAAAGGAUUGGUCAUCGACUAGAAGACAAAAGACCCACUGCAUGGCAAGAAG